AUGUUAUAGUUUGGACACUUACAAAUUAACAACUUGAAUCUCUCUCAUGCAUCCGACAAGGAUUCACUAUCCUAUUGUCUAAAAUUUGAAAUUGCAGAUUUUAUUUC